GUGGGGAAUAUUGGACAAUGGGCGAAAGCCUGAUCCAGCAAUGCCGCGUGAGUGAUGAAGGCCUUAGGGUUGUAAAGCUCUUUUACCAGGGAUGAUAAUGACAGUACCUGGAGAAUAAGCUCCGGCUAACUCCGUGCCAGCAGCCGCGGUAAUACGGAGGGAGCUAGCGUUGUUCGGAAUUACUGGGCGUAAAGCGCACGUAGGCGGUUACUCCAGUCAGAGGUGAAAGCCCGGGGCUCAACCCCGGAACUGCCUUUGAAACUAGGUAGCUAGAAUCCUGGAGAGGUGAGUGGAAUUCCGAGUGUAGAGGUGAAAUUCGUAGAUAUUCGGAAGAACACCAGUGGCGAAGGCGGCUCACUGGACAGGUAUUGACGCUGAGGUGCGAAAGCGUGGGGAGCAAACAGGAUUAGAUACCCUAGUAGUCC
rnacentral:rRNA from 1 species